UUGAAAUCUGGCCCCCCGGGUCCGAGUUGUAAUUUGCAGAGGAUGCUUUUGGCGCGGUGCCUUCCGAGUUCCCUGGAACGGGACGCCAUAGAGGGUGAGAGCCCCGUACGGUUGGACACCAAGCCUAUGUAAAGCUCCUUCGACGAGUCGAGUAGUUUGGGAAUGCUGCUCAAAAUGGGAGGUAUAUUUCUUCUAAAGCUAAAUACCGGCCAGAGACCGAUAGCGCACAAGUAGAGUGAUCGAAAGAUGAAAAGCACUUUGAAAAGAGGGUUAAACAGCACGUGAAAUUGUUAAAAGGGAAGCGCUUGUGACCAGACUUGCGUCCGGUGAAUCACCCAGCUCUCGCGGCUGGGGCACUUUGCCGGCUCAGGCCAGCAUCAGCUCGCCGUCGGGGACAAAAGCUUCGGGAACGUAGCUCUCUUCGGGGAGUGUUAUAGCCCGUUGCACAAUACCCUUCGGCGGGCUGAG
rnacentral:rRNA from 1 species